rnacentral:rRNA from 1 species
AUUGAACGCUGGCGGCAUGCCUUACACAUGCAAGUCGAACGGCAGCACGGGUGCUUGCACCUGGUGGCGAGUGGCGAACGGGUGAGUAAUACAUCGGAACGUACCUUAUCGUGGGGGAUAACGCAGCGAAAGCUGUGCUAAUACCGCAUACGCCCUGAGGGGGAAAGCGGGGGAUCGCAAGACCUCGCGCGAUUAGAGCGGCCGAUGCCUGAUUAGCUUGUUGGUGGGGUAAAAGCCCACCAAGGCGACGAUCAGUAGCUGGUCUGAGAGGACGAUCAGCCACACGGGGACUGAGACACGGCCCAGACUCCUACGGGGGGCAGCAGUGGGGAAUUUUGGACAAUGGGGGCAACCCUGAUCCAGCAAUGCCGCGUGAGUGAAUGAGGCCUUCGGGUUGUAAAGCUCUUUUGUCAGGGAAGAAACACCGGCUCUAACACAGUCCGGGAAUGACGGUACCUGAAGAAUAAGCACCGGCUAACUACGUGCCAGCCGCCGCCGUAA